GGGUGACAGGUGGUGCAUGGUUGUCGUCAGCUCGUGUCGUGAGAUGUUGGGUUAAGUCCCGCAACGAGCGCAACCCUCGACCUUAGUUGCCAGCAUUCAGUUGGGCACUCUAAGGUGACUGCCGGCUAAAAGUCGGAGGAAGGUGGGGAUGACGUCAAAUCAUCAUGCCCCUUAUGACCUGGGCUACACACGUGCUACAAUGGGCGGUACAAAGGGUCGCGAACCCGCGAGGGGGAGCCAAUCCCAAAAAGCCGAUCGUAGUCCGGAUUGUUCUCUGCAACUCGAGAGCAUGAAGUCGGAAUCGCUAGUAAUCGCAGGUCAGCAUACUGCGGUGAAUACGUUCCCGGGUCUU
rnacentral:rRNA from 1 species